rnacentral:rRNA from 1 species
CCUACGGGUGGCUGCAGUGAGGAAUAUUGGUCAAUGGCCGUAAGGCUGAACCAGCCAAGUAGCGGGAGGGAAGACUGCCCUAUGGGUUGUAAACCUCUUUUAUGCGGGGAUAAAGGUGUCCACGUGUGGAUGUUUGCAGGUACCGCAUGAAUAAGGACCGGCUAAUUCCGUGCCAGCAGCCGCUGUAAUACGGAAGGUCCGGGCGUUAUCCGGCUUUAUUGGGUUUAAAGGGAGGGUAGGCCGGUCUUUAAGCGUGCCGUGAAAUUUUGUGGCUCAACCAUGGGCGUGCGGUGCAAACUGGAGACCUGGAGUUGGCGGAAGGCAGGCGGAAUUCGUGGUGUAGCGGUGAAAUGCUUAGAUAUCGCGAAGAACCCCGAUUGCGAAGGCAGCCUGCCGGAGCGACACUGACGCUGAGGCUCGAAAGCGCGGGUAUCGAACAGGAUGAGAUACCCGGGUAGUC